rnacentral:rRNA from 1 species
AUUGAACGCUGGCGGCAGGCCUAACACAUGCAAGUCGAACGAGUGGCGGACGGGUGAGUAAUGUCUGGGAAACUGCCCGAUGGAGGGGGAUAACUACUGGAAACGGUAGCUAAUACCGCAUACCAUCGGAUGUGCCCAGAUGGGAUUAGCUAGUAGGUGAGGUAACGGCUCACCAAGGCGACGAUCCCUAGCUGGUCUGAGAGGAUGACCAGCCACACUGAAACUGAGACACGGUCCAUACGCCUACGGGAGGCAGCAGUGGGUAAUAUUGCACAAUGGGCGCAAGCCUGUUGCAGCCAUGCCGCGUGUAGGAAGAAGGCCUUCGGGUUGUAAAGUCCUUUCAGGGGUGAGGCGUUACUCGCAGAAGAAGCACCGGCUAACUCCGUGCCAGCAGCCGCGGUAAUAC